ensembl:ncRNA R12B2.9 ncRNA
AGUGAUCAUCGUAUAUAGCGCAUUUGUAUUGCCGUUCUGCUGAUCAUGGUCUGAAGCAGCCAACAUUGUGCGGCACCGCCUCCCUAAUAUGAAAUUUUAGUGACACACGAAGUGCCCGCUGCUGCUUCAACACUUAAAGAUAUGUUCUAU